CACACACACACACACACACUCUUUCUCUCUCUCUCUCUCUCUCUCUCUCUCUCUCUCUCUCUCUCUGCGCCAUGGGUUCUGAUUUACGCCGCCCUCCACCUAGUUCUCAAGCUUCUCAUACUUGCUUUUCAUCAAUCGAAACAUGCGGCCUUUCUCCUUGAAAUCGAGUUUCAUCCACCGAAUCUUAUCGGACGCCGCCCUCCGCCUCCGUCCUCUUCGCAUUCAGGAGAAACUUUUGUGAUGGGGUCUUGCUUGAUGGAACAAAAAAGGCAUAAUGGAAUGCCGAUAAUGGGGAUAUUAGGCGAGAGUUCUUUAACCUGUUGCUUGUUGUCACAUUUUUUACAGCGGAUGCAUCCUUGAUUUAUCCUUUAGAUUAUUUUCUUUUGUUUGCAGGUAACACUAAAGUGACCCUGAGUCCCGUUUAGUUCAGCUUAUAAAAUUUACUUUGGUGCUUCAAGACGUUGAUGUGUCUUGGUUGGCUUACGGGAAUUUCAGUUUAAUGGCUUAUAACACAGGUAUAAGUGAAAUUCUCCUUUUCUCGUCUAAAUUGGACAAUCCUCUUUUGAAGGGGGUUGAAAAAAGUGAGAAGGACGUAAAGUCAAUUAUCUGAUAAAGAAAAAAGUGAGAAAGAAGUAAACUGGGGUUCUUCAUAUAUAUAUAUUUUAAUUUUGUGGUUGUUCUGCUACAUGAGAACUGUAAUUGGGUUUGAUCCUUUAUAAGUGCACAACAAGAAAUGGGUAAAUAAUGGAUCAAGAAGGAGGAUUUUUGGUUUGUGGAAAGAUUUGCCUCUUUCUUAUUGUUUAUUCACUUUAGUUGGCUACGCCUACGAACUUUGCAAGUAUAUUUCUUAUUAUAAAACUUUAAUUUUGACGUUUUGAUCUUAUAAAUUGGGCGUUUUGCUAUAUGAAUUGGUGUAGCUUUUUGCUGACUUUAGGAGGUGGUUCUUUUGUUGGUUGGAGUUUUCUAGGAUCGAUAGCAAUGAUAGGCAUUGUCGGUAUUUUAUAGAUUGUUGUUCUCUCUUGUAUAUUUUUUGGUCCUAUUUCUUUAUGCUUUUUGGUUUUCCAUUAUGUUGCUUACUUGUUUCAAUAUUGUUUUCUUCUUUUUAAAUUCACGAUCUAUUACAAC